GUCUACGACCGUACCACCCUGAACAUGCUCGAUCUCAUCUGAUCUCGGAAGUUAAGCAGAGUUGGGCCUGGUUAGUACUUGGAUGGGAGACCUCCUGGGAAUACUAGGUGCUGUAGGUU